CUUAGCUUCGCUAGCCGCUAACAAAGUGACGCGGUUGUCAGCGACACAUCGCAUAUUAGAGCUCGCCUGUGAAGGUGUUGUGAUUAUCGUGUGAAAAAUGUGUGCAAGCACGUCAGCAAAGUACGAGAAAGAACUUUCUGGAACGAAGGAGGAGGACGAGCCACAACGUCAACUUUUGGACGCUGUUCGCAUGCAGCCUCGUGUUGUGUUCCACACAGCAGAUUGUGCACACAGCAGAAGAUGUCCUUCCACUUCUGUUGGCAGGGCAAAAAAAGGGGUGCCCACAUCUCAGGAUGACCGGCAACACCUCAACCCUGGUCAAGAAGGGCCGCCAGCGCCUCUCCUUCCUGACCAGACUGAAGGAGGCCCAUCUGUCCCCUCACAUACUGCUGCAUCGCCGAGAGCAUCCUCACCAACCGCAUCUCGGUUUCCCUAGAACCUCGACUGGUCAUAACAUGACCAUUCUUGUGUCGCUGAGAGUCCCGUGGGAGGAGCGGGUGGGGGCUGUCCAAGAGCCAAAGUCAGCGAAGUACAACGCAACUUAGUUUAACACCAAAAGUUUAAAACUUUAGUCUUUCUAUCAAUCAUGUGCUUGUUUGAUAUUGACAUCACUCAAGGCGGCACGGUGGCCGACUGGUUAGAGCGUCAGCCUCACAGUUAUGAGGACCCGGGUUCAAUCCCCGGCCCCGACUGUGUGGAGUUUGCAUGUUCUCCCCGUGCCUGCGUGGGUUUUCUCCGGGGACUCCGGUUUCCUCCCACAUCCCAAAAACAUGCAUAAAUUGCAGACUCUAAAUUGCCCGUAGGUGUGACUGUGCAUGCGAAUGGUUGUUUGUUCGUAUGUGCCCUGUGAUUGGCUGGCAACCAGUUCAGGGUGUGCCCCGCCUCCUGCCCGAUGACAGCUGGGAUAGGCUCCAGCACGCCCGCGACCCUAGUGAGGAGAAGCGGCUCAGAAAAUGGAUGGAUGGAUGGACAUCACUCAAACAUUGGGCGAACCGCAUGCAUCUCUUGAACUAUUAUGCAUGGGUUCCCGUGUCUGUGUGGGUUUUCCCCGGGUACUCCGGUGUCCUCCCACAUCCCCAAAACAUGCAUGGGAGGUUAAGUGAAGACUCUAAAUUGCCCAUAGGUGUUAAUCUGAGUGCGAAUGGUUGUUUGUUUCUAUGUGCCCUGCGCUUGGCUGGCGACCAGUUCAGGGUGUACCCCGCCUCUCUCCCGAAGACAGCUGGCAUAGGCUCCGGCACGCCCGCGACCUUAGUGAGGAUAAAGCGGUCUGGGAAAUGGAUGGAUGGAACAUGGCGAUAAAUGUCGUCAGUAGAAUACAAGAAUGUCAAUUUUUGUAAAUCAGGAUGAU